GUAGACACAUUCCAGCCAAUCAGCAGCAGACCCUCCCUCCCAGACCCUCCCACCUCCUGGACAGCUCACUAAGAAUGCAGCUUCACAAUGAAUGUAAAAUGGAUGCUGUCCAGGAGGUGGGAGGGUCUGGGAGGGAGGGUCUGCUGCUGAUUGGCUGGAAUGUGUCUG